UGGGUGACCUGCCCUCAGCUCUGGGAUAAGCCUGGGAAACUGGGUCUAAUACUGGAUAUUCACUUCCUAUCGCAUGGUGGGUGGUGGAAAGUUUUUUCGGCUGGGGAUGGGCCCGCGGCCUAUCAGCUUGUUGGUGGGGUGAUGGCCUACCAAGGCGACGACGGGUAGCCGGCCUGAGAGGGUGACCGGCCACACUGGGACUGAGACACGGCCCAGACUCCUACGGGAG
rnacentral:rRNA from 1 species